rnacentral:rRNA from 1 species
UGGUGGGUAGUUUGACUGGGGCGGUCUCCUCCCAAAGCGUAACGGAGGAGCACGAAGGUUAGCUAAUCCUGGUCGGACAUCAGGAGGUUAGUGCAAUGGCAUAAGCUAGCUUGACUGCGAGCGUGACGGCGCGAGCAGGUGCGAAAGCAGGUCAUAGUGAUCCGGUGGUUCUGAAUGGAAGGGCCAUCGCUCAACGGAUAAAAGGUACUCCGGGGAUAACAGGCUGAUACCGCCCAAGAGUUCAUAUCGACGGCGGUGUUUGGCACCUCGAUGUCGGCUCAUCACAUCCUGGGGCUGAAGUAGGUCCCAAGGGUAUGGCUGUUCGCCAUUUAAAGUGGUACGCGAGCUGGGUUUAGAACGUCGUGAGACAGUUCGGUCCCUAUCUGCCGUGGGCGCUGGAGAAUUGAGGGGGGCUGCUCCUAGUACGAGAGGACCGGAGUGGACGCAUCACUGGUGUUCGGGUUGUCAUGCCAAUGGCACUGCCCGGUAGCUAAAUGCGGAAGAGAUAAGUGCUGAAAGCAUCUAAGCACGAAACUUGCCCCGAGAUGAGUUCUCCCUGAGACUUUAAGUCUCCUGAAGGAACGUUGAAGACGAUGACGUUGAUAGGCCGGGUGUGUAAGCGCAGCGAUGCGUUGAGCUAACCGGUACUAAUGAACCGUGAGGCUUAACCUU